rnacentral:rRNA from 12 species
AUAAAUCAAUAUUCUCCCAACCGUGUCUCAGUAAUCACUACACAGUAUUCGUAGAAGGCAAAGUACAACCUUUAUUACAUAAUUAUUAAAGUGUUACAUAACGUACUAUUUGAAUACUGCUAAGUAUAUAAGUAGACACAAUCAAUAUCGUA